AGCUGGAGUACCAGAAGAACAUAAAUAUAAAUGUGGGAAGAACUUGAAACUCCUCACAGUAACAUUGAACUGGGAAGAACCAAAAGAAGGAAGGAUGGAAGGAAAGAAAGUGGCGUGUCGACUCCUGCAGCUAAAAACAAUGUUUAUGAGGGUGCAGAGCACGAACCAAGACAAUCAAGUUGUGUUUAGAAAAAAGUAAAUCAAGGAGCUGAAAGUUUCUGAAAGGCUCUGCACUGCCAAGGAGAGCUGUUGAACUUGGUGGACCUUUCCGUUGAUCCCCCUCUUCCUCUGUCUCACUUGUCCUCCAACGUCACCCUCACCACCCCUUUCCUUCCCUCCUCCACCACAUCACCGCUCGCUGUGGUAAUCCCAUUACUCAUGUGCGAAUACCAGCUGGGGAAGGGAAGGAGGAAGGGAGGGAGGGAGAAUGUGGACAGAGGAUAACUGUCUCGGGUCUCAACUAGACGGUUGGGCAUCAUAGACGUUUACUCAAAGCAGUGUCGAGAAAAGAGAAGAAAAUGUUGACUGACAUUACAAAUUGUCUCGAAAUGUGUUUAAAGUCAGACCCCUAAUGAUCCAAUGAGGGGUAAGGAGGGAGACAGACAGACACAGAGAUGGAGGGAGGGAUAUCUGGCUGUGUCUCUUGACGGUUGGACC